AAUUCCCCCUUAGAGUUUGAUCCUGGCUCAAAAUCAACGCUGGCGGCGUGCCUCAGACAUGCAAGUCGAACGAUUAACACUCUCUUCGGAGAGUGUAUAGAGUGGCGCACGGGUGAGUAACACGUAGGUAAUUUGCCUUCGGGUGGGGAAUAACUUGGGGAAACCCAAGCUAAUACCGCAUAAUGCAGCGGCACCAAAUGGUGACAGUUGUUAAAGCUUUAUGUGCCUGAAAAGAAGCCUGCGGUGGAUUAGGUAGUUGGUAAGGUAAUGGCUUACCAAGCCUGCGAUCCAUAUCCGGUCUUAGAGGACGGUCGGACACACUGACACUGAAUAACGGGUCACACUCCUACGGGAGGCAGCAGUCGGGAAUUUUGGGCAAUGGGCGAAAGCCUGACCCAGCAACGCCGCGUGAAGGAUGAAGUCCUUCGGGAUGUAAACUUCAGAAGAAUGGGAAGAAUAAAUGACGGUACCUUUUUUAAGCCCCGGCUAACUCCGUGCCAGCAGCCGCGGUAAUACGGAGGGGGCAAGCGUUGUUCUUAUUUACUGGGCGUAAAGGGCGCGUAGGCGGCGUGACAAGUCACUUGUGAAAUCUCCGGGCUUAACUCGGAACUGCCAAGUGAUACUGUCGUGCUAGAGUGCAGAAGGGGCAAUCGUAAUUUCUUGGUGUAGCGGUGAAAUGCGUAGA
rnacentral:rRNA from 1 species